GACGAACGCUGGCGGCGUGCCUAAUACAUGCAAGUCGAACGCAGUGGGGACGGGUGAGUAACACGUGGGUAACCUCCCAUCAGAGGGGAUAACACGUGGAAACAGGUGCUAAACCGAUACUGAUGGAUGGACCCGCGGUGCAUUAGCUAGUGGGUGAGGUAACGGCUCACCAAGGCCACGAUGCAUAGCCGACCGGAGAGAGGGACCGCCCAAACUGGGACUGAGACCCGGCCCAGACUCCAACGGGAGGCAGCAGUAGGGAAUCUUCGGCAAUGGAGGAAAGUCUGACCAAGCAACGCCGCGUAGGUAAGGAAGGUUUUCGGAUCGUAAAACUCUGUGGUUAGAGAAGCGGUAUCUAACCAGAAAGCCACGGCUAACUACAUGCCAGCAGCCGCGGUAAUAC
rnacentral:rRNA from 1 species